UGGGGAAUAUUGCACAAUGGGGGAAACCCUGAUGCAGCGACGCAGCGUGCGGGAUGACGGCCUUCGGGUUGUAAACCGCUUUCAGCAGGGAAGAAGCGCAAGUGACGGUACCUGCAGAAGAAGUACCGGCUAACUACGUGCCAGCAGCCGCGGUAAUACGUAGGGUACGAGCGUUGUCCGGAAUUAUUGGGCGUAAAGAGCUCGUAGGUGGUUGGUCACGUCUGCUGUGGAUACGCAACGCUUAACGUUGCGCGUGCAGUGGGUACGGGCUGACUAGAGUGCAGUAGGGGAGUCUGGAAUUCCUGGUGUAGCGGUGAAAUGCGCAGAUAUCAGGAGGAACACCGGUGGCGAAGGCGGGACUCUGGGCUGUAACUGACACUGAGGAGCGAAAGCAUGGGGAGCGAACAGG
rnacentral:rRNA from 1 species